AUUGAACGCUGGCGGAAUGCUUUACACAUGCAAGUCGAACGGCAGCACGGGGCAACCCUGGUGGCGAGUGGCGAACGGGUGAGUAAUACAUCGGAACGUGCCCAGUCGUGGGGGAUAACGUAGCGAAAGUUACGCUAAUACCGCAUACGAUCUACGGAUGAAAGCGGGGGACCGUAAGGCCUCGCGCGAUUGGAGCGCACGAUGUCAGAUUAGGUAGUUGGUGAGGUAAAGGCUCACCAAGCCGACGAUCCGUAGCUGGUCUGAGAGGACGACCAGCCACACUGGGACUGAGACACGGCCCAGACUCCUACGGGAGGCACCAGUGGGGAAUUUUGGACAAUGGGCGCAAGCCUGAUCCAGCCAUUCCGCGUGCAGGACGAAGGCCUUCGGGUUGUAAACUGCUUUUGUACGGAACGAAAAGGCUCUGGUUAAUACCUGGGGCUCAUGACGGUACCGUAAGAAUAAGCACCGGCUAACUACGUGCCAGCCGCCGCAGUAA
rnacentral:rRNA from 1 species